rnacentral:tRNA from 1 species
GGGGUUGUGGUAUAACCUGGCAGCAUGUUAGGCUCCAGACCUGAAGAUCCGAGUUCGAAUCUCGGCGACCCCA